rnacentral:tRNA from 1 species
GACUCGAUAGCUUAAAGUUCUAAAGUAGUAGUUUGAAGCACUAAAGAUGUCUUUUGACUCGGGUCG